CCUACGGGAGGCAGCAGUGGGGAAUAUUGCACAAUGGGGGGAACCCUGAUGCAGCGACGCCGCGUGAGUGAAGAAGUAUUUCGGUAUGUAAAGCUCUAUCAGCAGGGAAGAAAAUGACGGUACCUGACUAAGAAGCCCCGGCUAACUACGUGCCAGCAGCCGCGGUAAUACGUAGGGGGCAAGCGUUAUCCGGAUUUACUGGGUGCAAAGGGAGCGCAGACGGCUGUGCAAGUCUGGAGUGAAAGGCGGGGGCCCAACCCCCGGACUGCUCUGGAAACUGUAAAGCUGGAGUGCAGGAGAGGUAAGCGGAAUUCCUAGUGUAGCGGUGAAAUGCGUAGAUAUUAGGAGGAACACCAGUGGCGAAGGCGGCUUACUGGACUGCAACUGACGUUGAGGCUCGAAAGCGUGGGGAGCAAACAGGAUUAGAUACCCCAGUAGUC
rnacentral:rRNA from 1 species